AUGCUAGCUUCAGCAGCACAUAUACUAUAUUAGCAUGAUACAGAGAAGAUUUGCAUGACCCCUGCACAAGGAUGACAGGUAAAUUUGUGAAAUAUUCCAUAUUUUU